UACUAUUUUUGGUUUCUUCUAUUUUUCGUAUUUCUUCCGUAGUUUGUUGUUUUAUUUUUUCUAUUUCUUUUUUCCUAUCUAUCUCUUCAUUUUCUUUUUCUAUUCUUACCAUUGCUGUUAAUUUAUCUUCUAAUUUUAAUUCUUCUUUUUCUAACAUUAGAUAUAAAUGUUCACCUAUUUUCUUAUAUCUUCGUCCUAGAUUAGAAAAUACUAUUUUUAUUUUUGAUCCUUCGUAGUUUUCAUAUAUUUUUUCAUCUAUUAUAAAUUCUUCUUUAUUCAUUUUAUUGUGAAUAGUUCAUGUUGAUAUAUAUAUUCUAAACUAUCUAUUUGUGAUUCCAAUUUUGAUAUUUCAUCUUUUUGUGUAUCUAUUGAAUUUUUACUAACUCCGGC
rnacentral:lncRNA from 1 species